UGUACUUUGGCUCAAUUGGUUAAAUCGCCGGACUAGUAAUACGGAGUCGUGGGUUUGAAUCCCACCAAAACAA
rnacentral:tRNA from 1 species